UACGGAGGGAGCUAGCGUUGUUCGGAAUUACUGGGCGUAAAGCGCACGUAGGCGGCUAUUCAAGUCGGGGGUGAAAGCCCGGGGCUCAACCCCGGAACUGCCCUCGAAACUAGAUAGCUAGAAUCUUGGAGAGGCGAGUGGAAUUCCGAGUGUAGAGGUGAAAUUCGUAGAUAUUCGGAAGAACACCAGUGGCGAAGGCGACUCGCUGGACAAGUAUUGACGCUGAGGUGCGAAAGCCAGGGGAGCGAACGGG
rnacentral:rRNA from 1 species